rnacentral:rRNA from 1 species
UACGUAGGGGGCAAGCGUUGUCCGGAAUCAUUGGGCGUAAAGAGCGCGUAGGCGGCCCUGUAAGUCCGCUGUGAAAGUCAAGGGCUCAACCCUUGAAUGCCGGUGGAUACUGCAGGGCUAGAGUCCGGAAGAGGCGAGUGGAAUUCCUGGUGUAGCGGUGAAAUGCGCAGAUAUCAGGAGGAACACCGAUGGCGAAGGCAGCUCGCUGGGACGGUACUGACGC